CAUAUACUCUCUUUGUCCGAAAUAACUUGUCUCAAACUUGUUUCUCAAACGGAUGUAUCUAGCACUAACUUGGUGCUAGAUACAUUUAUUUGAGGGACAAGCUUUUUCGAAUGGAGAGAGUAUUAU
rnacentral:pre_miRNA from 1 species